rnacentral:rRNA from 1 species
AUAUUGGACAAUGGGGGCAACCCUGAUCCAGCCAUUCCGCGUGUUUUAAGAAGGUCUUCGGAUUGUAAAGCACUUUAAGUCGGGAGGAAGGGCCUUAGGUUAAUACCCUGAAGUUGUGACGUUACCAAUAGAAUAAGCACCGGCUAACUCUGUGCCAGCAGCCGCGGUAAUACAGAGGGUGCAAGCGUUCAUCGGAAUUACUGGGCGUAAAGCGGGCGUAGGUGGUUCAGUAAGAUGGGUGUGAAAUCCCCGGGCUUAACCUGGGAACUGCUUUCAUAACUGCUGAGCUAGAGUACGGUAGAAGGUAGUGGAAUUACCUGUGUAGCGGUGAAAUGCGUAGAUAUAGGAAGGAACACCAGUGGCGAAGGCGACUACCUGGACUGAUACUGACACUGAGGUGCGAAAGAGUGGGGAGCAAA